CCAGCCCGCCCUCCGACUUGUAAAUUCCGUGCAGACGAAAAUCACACGGCAUAAAAGUUACAACACCAGGUCAGGUUAUGACAGGUAGAUGGAACAGUGGGUCAAACAGAAGUCACCCCAAAAAAUGCUGAAGAAUCAGGUUGAAGCGUGUAAUUUACAUAGAAGUCCACGUAACUAGAAUCCCAGAAAUGGCCGACAUUGAAUUUGCGUACUUCAUUGAAGAAAUAAUGAAUCUGCCCCUUUAGUUACGUAGUUUGUAAAUAACAGGUUAAAGAGGUUUAGUUAAAUAGAUGAAUUCCUUUAGUUAAGUAGUUACUUUGUUUUAUUUAAACAUUUAAAGUUCACAUAUUGUAUAUUUAAGAAUAAAAAUAACAAAACGUUCAUAAUCUUUCGCUGCACGUGUUUCUAUACUUGUUACCGUAAUUGCAGUUCCUGUUCUGAUACAAAUGUUUAUUUCCUUUGCAGAUCCCAGAAAUGGACUACAUUGAAUUUGCGUCCUUCAUUGAAGAAAUAAUGAUUCUGCCCCUUUAGUUACGUAGUUUGUAAUUAAAAGGUUAAAUAGGUUUAGUUAAAUAGAUAAAUUCCUUUAGUUAAGUAGUUACUUUGUAUUAUUUAAACAGUUAAAGUUCACAUAUUGUAUAUUUAAGAAUAAAAAUAACAAAAUGUAAUUGCUGUUCCUGUUCUGAUACAAAUGUUUAUUUCCUUUGCAGAUCCCAGAAAUGGACUACAUUGAAUUUGCGUCCUUCAUUGAAGAAAUAAUGAUUCUGCCUCUUUAGUUAAGUAGUUUGUAAUUAAAAGGUUAAAUAGGUUUAGUUAAAUAGAUAAAUUCCUUUAGUUAAGUAGUUACUUUGUUUUAUUUAAACAGUUAAAGUUCACAUAUUGUAUAUUUAAGAAUAAAAAUAACAAAAUGUAAUUGCUGUUCCUGUUCUGAUACAAAUGUUUAUUUAAUAUGCAGAAUCCAGAAAUGGGCAACGUGGUGUUUGCGUCCUUCAUUGAAGAAAUAAUGAUUCUGCCCCUUUAGUUACGUAGUUUGUAAUUAAAAGGUUAAAUAGGUUUAGUUAAAUAGAUAAAUUCCUUUAGUUAAGUAGUUACUUUGUAUUAUUUAAACAGUUAAAGUUCACAUAUUGUAUAUUUAAGAAUAAAAAUAACAAAAUGUAAUUGCUGUUCCUGUUCUGAUACAAAUGUUUAUUUAAUAUGCAGAAUCCAGAAAUGGGCAACGUGGUGUUUGCGUCCUUCAUUGAAGAAAUAAUGAUUCUGCCCCUUUAGUUACGUAGUUUGUAAUUAAAAGGUUAAAUAGGUUUAGUUAAAUAGAUGAAUUCCUUUAGUUAAGUAGUUACUUUGUUUUAUUUAAACAGUUAAAGUUUUAUUUAAACAGCUAAAGUUCACAUAUUGUAUAUUUAAGAAUAAAAAUAACAAAACGUUCAUAAUCUUUCGCUGCAUGUGUUUCUAUACUUGUUACCGUAAUUGCAGUUCCUGUUCUGAUACAAAUGUUUAUUUCCUUUGCAGAUCCCAGAAAUGGCCUGAAGUGCGUCUUGGUGCGUCUGGACGUGUUUUCUAGACACGUGAAACUGUAUCCGUUACGAGCGGCCACAUCCAAGGCUUGCCUUAACAAGUUAAAAGGCCAUUAUUUUACUAGGGUACGCCGGCCUAAAGCAGUGUUGGGUGAGCAUGGGACUCAAAAGUGAAGUUCUCGCCGAUUCGGCAUCCGCAAAGCAACCCGAUUGAACGCGUUAUGCGUGGACUUGGGACCUUCUUCAAAAUUUAUUGUCAUGCUUCCCACAGUACACAUUACAGGUGCCUCUGGACCCCAAUAAUGCUGUCAAGCCCCAGAUUGCGUCAGCAGGAUUGCUGGACCUUUCUGUACUCACGUCGACUGUCGCCCAGUUGGUCUACGUUGCAAAAGCUGGCGACGUUCACGAAGUUUUCAUCGCCAUUAUUGUGUUACUAAGCCUCUGCCUUGUUGUGCAGGUACGUGACACGUAGUCUUAGGUUUCUGUAUUCAAGAAAAGUUACACUGCUUACAUGCCCAGUCUGUUCCUGCAGUAACUUAUAUUCUGCAUUAACCUUGGAUAGGGUAACUAUACGAGGAUACUCUUCCCUCAACCUUGCCGAGACUGACAAGAACUAGUAAUAAACCCAAAGAUUCUCUAGCCGGAACGAGAUUCCUAGACAUCACUAAGCAGAGACUACAUACGCGCCAAGCGAGGCCUUUACCUGGUGCUACACUUCAGGCGCAGGUCAUGUCCUGCAGCGAUAUACAACACGCUGCUCUAUGGUGCAGUAAUGGGCUCAUUCACAAACAUUACCGUGGUGCUCAGAUGAAUCUCCGGUCAAACACGAGCUGACCGCCACAGAAGGCAUGGAAUCGCGCCGAUCGCAGACAAGAUGCGAGAAAGUCGACUCGGAUGGUACGGUCACACGCUCCGAGCCAAAGACAGAACAAUCGCGAGGCGAAAGGAAAACGGCCGAAAGGGAGACCGAGGCUGUGAUAGACCUGAAACGAUCCCGACCAGGCACACGACCGCGUCAAAUGGAGGGAUUUGAUUAAACCUGUGAAUGACACUCUAAGAAAGCUUUUCAUGAGUUUUCAUCACUCUGGGAGAAAGAAGCCUUUGGUGAUGUAAUUGUAGAGAAGAGAUGCGAGUCAAUAAUGGGCGAGUACAAUUUUAAGAGUUGUAUUAGUGUUAAGGACUAUAUAACUUUGUACUUGGAACCCAUGUUGUAUUAACGGGAAUUAAACCUUUUAUUUUGUUUAGUAUAUUAUUAAAGUAGUUAAGGGAAAGAUUGUGACUUAAAUAUGGGACUACGAGUGAGGAGGUAUUAGGUCCCUACUGGGAAACACCUGACUAUUCUAACCUGUAGAUCAUAACAGUAGAUAAGGAUCAAUCCAACUGGGACUGGACUAAAUAUGCUGUAUUCGCAUACAACACCACGCCACAUACGCAACAAACUACAUGCUGUUCGAAUUCAUGUUCGGGCAAGCUGACAAUUUACCGGGUUAUCUACAGAAGCCUCCGGAAGGUGUUAACUACGCUACGUCUGAUACCCUCCCAUUAGUACCGAUAUUUUGCAUCCGCAAUAGCAAAUAGGACCAUGCUGUGUUUUUGCUUUUAACUGUAGAAAUAUGAACUGCUUCCUGGUGGAGGUAUGAUUUAAAUGUGUUCACCGCCCAGAGCACCAACACAAUGAGGAAAACCACCUCUUUUCAAAAUUAUUUGCUAUAAUCUUACAAUCAUCUUCAGUUUGUGGGAACUGGGAAAAAACAUGUGUUUUUUAAGGAAGAAGUUGAAGACCCUCAUCCAGAUUUGGAGCAAUCUGUUAAAAAAUCUAAAACAAUCCAGCCAACAGCACUUGGAAUAUAUAAUUCACCUGGACAAGAUUCGAUUCGAUCAUCAACACCAAAAAAACCUCAAGCAAGACCCCCUAAACGAAUGGCAUCAGAUAAAUAUGUUUCUGUGUAUUAAAUAAUUAAGUUGAUCUUCUUGUGUAUUUGUUUAAUCUUGUCAGUCUAAUAAUCACAAUAAAAUUCCUAUUAAAUAUUAAAAUAUUACUAUCACACAAGCAGAUAAAGGAAAAACUAUCGUCAUUCUUUCUAUAGAACAAUAUCAACAAUACAUUUCACAAUUUA